UUUUUUAUAUAUAUAGCCUCUUUGGGUACUUAUAAUGUAGAAUAAUGAGAAAGAUUUCUCGAACUCAAAUUUUGUGAACCAGGGGGGUGUGUCUUUUCCAACAAACUAAAAAUGGCUCGCGCACAAAAUUUAAAAGCUGCAAUCAUAUUUUGAGUUAACAGAUGGAAAAUUUGUCGGGAUUUUAAUUACUGUACAAAAUUUCAGACAAUUUGGUUUAGUUUAAGCCCCUUAACUAUUCACGCAAAGUUACAAUUUUCCCGAAAAAUCAGCUAUUUGCAUGCUUAAUUAAUGCAUUUGCCUAAUUUGCAUAUGUCAGCAAUAUGCAAAUUAGGUAAAGGCAUUAAUUAAGCAUGCGAAAGGCUGACUUUUUAGAACAAAAUGAAUAGUUAAAGGGCUUAAACUAAACCAAAUUGUCUGAAAUUUUGUACAGUAAUUAAAAACCCGACAAAUUUUCAAUCUGUUAACUCAAAAUAUGAUUACAGCUUUUAAAUUUUGUGCGCGAGCCAUUUUUAGUUUGUUGGAAAAGACACACCCCC